AAUAGAUACCCUGGUAGUCCACGCCGUAAACGAUGAGUGCUAAGUGUUAGAGGGUUUCCGCCCGUUUAGUGCUGCAGCAAACGCAUUAAGCACUCCGCCUGGGGAGUACGGCCGCAAGGCUGAAACUCAAAGGAAUUGACGGGGGCCCGCACAAGCGGUGGAGCAUGUGGUUUAAUUCGAAGCAACGCGAAGAACCUUACCAGGUCUUGACAUCCCGCUGACCGGCCUAGAGAUAGGCCUUCCCCUUCGGGGGCAGCGGUGACAGGUGGUGCAUGGUUGUCGUCAGCUCGUGUCGUGAGAUGUUGGGUUAAGUCCCGCAACGAGCGCAACCCUUGAUCUUAGUUGCCAGCAUUUAGUUGGGCACUCUAAGGUGACUGCCGGUGACAAACCGGAGGAAGGUGGGGAUGACGUCAAAUCAUCAUGCCCCUUAUGACCUGGGCUACACACGUGCUACAAUGGAUGGUACAAAGGGCUGCAAGACCGCGAGGUUUAGCCAAUCCCAUAAAACCAUUCUCAGUUCGGAUUGCAGG
rnacentral:rRNA from 1 species